AGAAGUUGAUGGCGAGGUUUGGGGCAAGGAAAGGUAGCGAUCGUAGCGAAGUUAUGAAUGAAGAAGAAAUUGGUUGGAGUCUUUUUAUAAUUGAAAUUUUAAAGAGGAAGUUCAGCGUUGUUUUCAGUAUCAAAUAUGAUUUAUCUGGAUUUGGCAUGUUGCAGAAAUAUGCUGAUAUAAUGUUUUGAACGAAAGGGUAAAAUAAUUGUUUCCAUAUACCUUACAGCACGUGUUCGACACGCCUACUUAAAUAGAAACAAAUGUAUACAAUAUCUAGUUUCUUGAAGAAAGAUACCUGCAGUAGGUACAUUGUUAUGUAGAUGUUUAUGAUUUUUUCUUUGUGGGGAUGAAUGGUAUCGAAAAGUUGUGGCUUUUAAAAUAUAGAAUACGGUUUGUGUCCAACUCAAGAAAGGAGCCUGACCUGCCUUGCAGCUGCCGAGCGAAACAAAACCCAAAAGGUUUUGGUGGUGUCAGUGAAGAAUUCAAUGUUUGAAGCUUCUCACUGGCAGAUGGAGUGAAGAGCACUCAAAGGGCUCAUACCUCCUGCAUGACAACUUCAUGGACGCUGAUCACAGGUACCAAAGGAUUUAAGAUAGUGAGUAUCACCCAUGAAUUUCCAGUCCCUAAUUCUGCACAUCUUUCAUGAGACAUUCCAUACUCCAGGUAUGUAUCACUUCCAAUGCCUCAGUGUUAUGGCUGUUUGUUUUUUCCAUCUGCUGCAAUAUUGCAGCUGGGAAAUUGAUUUGAUGGAUAUUGUGUGAGGUAUAUUUGGUAUAUACACAGUUUUGGAAUAUGAUUUUUUCAGAUGACAGUAACUAUUCAGAGAUUUAUUUUACCACAGUGUGAAAUUCUGUGACUAUAAAUAGUAUAUUUCCGCUGGCUUAUUUAUUUAUUUAUUUAUUGGAGGUGUUGAUUGAUUUAUAGAACAUUUCUUAAGGCCUGCUUGAGGACUCGGACACAACUGAGCUAAUACUAUAAGUCCAUUUGCAUCAGCCAGAGCUGCUAUUUCCUCUGAUAGCCUACACAAACAUUUAUGUUUAAAUUAUCACCAUAAUUAAAACUUAAAUAAUUUUUGGAAGACAAGGGAGACAUCUGUGAAGAAAUUGCUGUCCAAGUGAUAAAACAUCCAAGAAGUUCUCCCCAUGCACAUGAUCUGCAAGAAGCCCAUUGAUUUGAGACAGAAUAAGGAAUGACCAGAAAAUUUUUCUUAAACACUGCAUACAAAUGUGGAGCACCCUAGUUGUAGAGGUGUUUAUUGAGACAGUGUUGAGUGGGAAUUCAAAACCGAAGGGAUACCUUGAAGUUGCAGAUUCCCUGGGCACUGUGGUACCUUGAAAGUUACUUAUUGGGUGUGCUUUGAAGACCACAUGUUGGUCUCGCCACGUCUGAAUCAGUUCAAGAGAAACAGUGUUUAAACAAGAGUUUCUAGACACAAAGUUUACAAAUGUGGUGGCCCUCAUUCAUUUUUCUAAUAUUAUGCCAAAAGUUAUAUCUAUGAUUAUACUAAAUAUUUAAUUAUAAGUUAACAAUAAAUAAUAAUGACUAACUUGGCAGGGCAAAGACCUCAACCCACUGGGCAAAACCUGGCAUUUAGCAAGUUUCUGCUGAGUUCCAGAUAACUGUUUGUAACUCCAGCAGAUGGCAAGGAAUUCCUGAACUCUCUUGAUGGUCACACUUGGAAAUGCUUAAAUGAUAUAUACAUCCAUAUCAGUGAUUACAGCGGAAAAAUCCAUUUGAUUAUGGUAUUGAAAUGUGUGGAGUGUGUAACACCAUGAAAAAUAUAUUGGCCUGGUGUCUGGAACACCCAUGUAAAUACCUCUCAGUAAAUGUGUUAACAUCCCUCUGUUAUUCUCUUGUCUGUGUGCAGGUGUCUCAAAUGGUCUCUUCUCUUAAGAUAGUCUGGCUAAAGUGUUGUGUUUUUACUCCUCAUGCAUGCUGCAUGCUCAGUCAAUUUCAUCCUCAUUAAAGUAUUCUAAUAUUUGGUAAAGAAUAGAAAUUAUGAAACACUUCCUUGUGCAGUUUUCUCCAUUAUCCUGUAACAUCCUUCCUCUUAGGUCAAAAUAUUCUCAGUUCUCCUGUUCUCAAACACUCUUAGUCUGUGUUAUUCACAUGGGGUGAGAGACCAAGGUUCAGAGCCAUACAAAAUGUCAUGUAAAAUUGUAGUUUUGUAUAUACAUUGCAUAUACAUAUAUUCAUUUUUACAUUGCUGGCUAGGAUAUGGUAACCCAGAAGAGUCUGUACUAUGUGACAGCAGGCUUUCCACACAUUUAAUAUCCUCUUUAGUUUCUUCUUGAAUGCAGUUUUGUUUUCUUACUGUAUUUCUCUGUAAUUGUUGUAGUAGUUAAUCGUAUUUGGUUUGUAUUCACUGUGGUAGGAU